UACGUAGGGUGCAAGCGUUAAUCGGAAUUACUGGGCGUAAAGCGUGCGCAGGCGGUUUUGUAAGUCUGUCGUGAAAUCCCCGGGCUCAACCUGGGAAUUGCGAUGGAGACUGCAAGGCUAGAAUCUGGCAGAGGGGGGUAGAAUUCCACGUGUAGCAGUGAAAUGCGUAGAGAUGUGGAGGAACACCGAUGGCGAAGGCAGCCCCCUGGGUCAAGACUGACGCUCAUGCACGAAAGGCGUGGGGAGCAAACGAGGAUUACGAA
rnacentral:rRNA from 1 species